rnacentral:tRNA from 1 species
AGCCCCGUAGUGUAGCGGUCAAUCAUUGAAGACUCUGGAUCUUUAGACUCCAGUUCGAAUCUGGACGGGGCUA